ACGGCUCAGUAACACGUGGACAACCUACCCUCCGGACGGGUAUAAACCCGGGAAACUGGGUAUAAUCCCCGAUAGUCCUCGACUGCUGGAAUGCAUCGAGGACGAAAGCUCCGGCGCCGGAGGAUGGGUCUGCGGCCUAUCAGGUAGUAGUGGGUCUAAUGUACCUACUAGCCUACGACGGGUACGGGUUGUGAGAGCAAGAGCCCGGAGAUGGAUUCUGAGACACGAAUCCAGGCCCUACGGGGUGCAGCAGGCGCGAAAACUUUACAAUGCCGGCAACGGCGAUAAGGGAACCUCGAGUGCCAGGUUACAAAUCUGGCUGUCGUGAUGCCUAAAAAGCAUUGCAUAGCAAGGGCCGGGCAAGACCGGUGCCAGCCGCCGCGGUAACACCGGCGGCUCGAGUGGUAACCGUUAUUAUUGGGUCUAAAGGGUCUGUAGCCGGCCGGAUAAGUCUCUUGGGAAAUCCAGCAGCUCAACUGUUGGGCUUUCAGGAGAUACUGUCUGGCUCGAGGCCGGGAGAGGUGAGAGGUACUUCAGGGGUAGGGGUGAAAUCUUGUAAUCCUUGAAGGACCACCAGUGGCGAAGGCGUCUCACCAGAACGGACCUGACGGCAAGGGACGAAAGCUAGGGGCACGAACCGGAUUAGAUACCCGGGUAGUCCUAGCCGUAAACGAUACUCGCUAGGUGUCGGCCACGG
rnacentral:rRNA from 1 species